GACGAACGCUGGCGGCGUGCUUAACACAUGCAAGUCGAACGGAAAGGCCCUGCUUUUGUGGGGUGCUCGAGUGGAGAACGGGUGAGUAACACGUGAGUAACCUGCCCUUGACUUUGGUAAAACUUCAGGAAACUGGGGAUAAUCCCGGAUAGGCGCCCCUGCCGUAUGGUGGGGGUUGGAAAGUUUGGGCGGUUGGGGAUGCACUCGCGGCUUCUCGGCUUGUUGGGGGGGUGGUGGUUUACCAAGGCUUUGACGGGUCGCCGGCCUGAGGGGGUGACCGGCCAAAUUGGGACGGGAUAACGGCCCGACCCCCUACGGGAGGAAGCGGUGGGGAUUAUUGCACAAUGGGCGGAAGCCUGAGGCAGCAACGCCGCGUGCGGGAUGACGGCCUUCGGUUUGUAAACCGUUUUCGCCUGUGACGAGGCGUGAGUGACGGUAGUGGGUAAAGAAGCACCGGCUAACUACGUG
rnacentral:rRNA from 1 species